rnacentral:rRNA from 1 species
UACAGAGGGGGCAAGCGUUGUUCGGAAUUACUGGGCGUAAAGGGCGCGUAGGCGGCCGCCUAAGUCAGACGUGAAAUCCCUCGGCUCAACCGGGGAACUGCGUCUGAUACUGGGUGGCUUGAAUUCGGGAGAGGGAUGCGGAAUUCCAGGUGUAGCGGUGAAAUGCGUAGAUAUCUGGAGGAACACCGGUGGCGAAGGCGGCAUCCUGGACCAAUUCUGACGCUGAGUGAGCGAAAGCCAGGGGAGCAAACGGG